UAUGUAAACUUCUAUCAGCAGGGAAGAAAAUGACGGUACCUGACUAAGAAGCCCCGGCUAACUACGUGCCAGCAGCCGCGGUAAUACGUAGGGGGCAAGCGUUAUCCGGAUUUACUGGGUGUAAAGGGAGCGUAGACGGCUGUGCAAGUCUGAAGUGAAAGGCAUGGGCUCAACCUGUGGACUGCUUUGGAAACUGUGCAGCUAGAGUGUCGGAGAGGUAAGUGGAAUUCCUAGUGUAGCGGUGAAAUGCGUAGAUAUUAGGAGGAACACCAGUGGCGAAGGCGGCUUACUGGACGAUGACUGACGUUGAGGCUCGAAAGCGUGGNGAGCAAACAGGAUUAGAUACCCUGGUAGUCCACGCCGUANACGAUGACUGCUAGGUGUC
rnacentral:rRNA from 1 species